UACCAGCACCCCGAGUGGUCGGGACGUUUAUUGGGCCUAAAGCAUCCGUAGCCGGUUCUACAAGUCUUCCGUUAAAUCCACCUGCUUAACAGAUGGGCUGCGGAAGAUACUAUAGAGCUAGGAGGCGGGAGAGGCAAGCGGUACUCGGUGGGUAGGGGUAAAAUCCGUUGAUCCAUUGAAGACCACCAGUGGCGAAGGCGGCUUGCCAGAACGCGCUCGACGGUGAGGGAUGAAAGCUGGGGGAGCAACCGG
rnacentral:rRNA from 1 species